AGUCAGCAAGCUGGAAAGCCAGGAGAGCUGAUUGUGUAGUUACAGUUCAAGCCUGAAGGUCUGAGAACCAAGAGAAGCAGUUCUACAGUGCCCGUCAAAAGCUAACAGGCUGGAGACCCAUGAAGUGCCAGUGUUUCAGUUCAAGUCUGAAGACAGGUAAAAAGCCAAUGUUCCAGUUCAAAGGCCAUCAGGAAAAUGUCCUUGUCUUAGAAGAUAUAUGCUGAAGUAUACAGCAAUGAAGUAUAAAGAUUUUUCAACUGUCAAAUGAUUCAACAAAAAUGGUUCAGAACUUCCUACGACCCCCAAGAGGGGCUUCCCCGGCUACUCAGCGGUAAAAGAAUCUGCCUGCGCUGCGAUGCGUAAGACUCAGCAUACCUGGAUCUUCCCUAUAGCUCAGAUGGUAAAUAAUCUGCCUGCAAUGUAGGAGACCUGGAUUCGAUUCCUGGGUCAGGAAGAUCCUCUGGGGAAGGGAAUGGC